UUUGCACUCUGAAAAGUAUUCAAUCGGAAGCAGCAGAAACGGAUAUUUAAUAUUUUCUUUGAUCCGAGUAGUCUUCAACUGGCUCAAAAGCUGGCGCCUACAAACCCCACAAUGCAGUUCGUGUGUAGACGUCGGAGAGAACUUUUCAAAGCAAGAACAUAAAAUAUUCAAGGAAUGCCCUCAAUUGGCUCUAACGUAGAACUCUUGAUGAGAAAUAUUUGCGCCCAGGAGGAUCCAUAAUUGAAUCUAGCAGGAGAUUAAGUAGGUCAGCUGCAAGAUGGGUUGGUGGGUUUGGGGAAGGAAAUCUGUUCCACUUUGGAAUAAUGGACCGAUUUAACAGCAUCCAUCAAAAUGACUGAAAACAACUUCCAAGCCCAAAAACAACAACUAAAAAGCAAAAGGCUGCAUAAAAAAAAUAUUUCAAAACAUCCUCUGAAAUGCAUAAAUUAAAAAGAGAUCAAAACGAUGCCAAGUAAUGUAAUGUUCGAAUAUAUAAAUGCACUUGAUCUUCUUCAAUGCCACUGCUAACCCCAUUGAGGCGUGCAGGCAGCACAGAUCCAAUGUUAAAGGAGGCUAAUUACUCCCAGUAUCUCCCACACUCCAGGGAGGCGAGGUCAUCCGGAGGACAGGCAUGUGAAACAUUCCUGCAGCCUGCUGCUGCCGGACCUCCCUCUCAGUCUCGGUCUCUCCCUGUCCUCCUUUUCUGCUCCUUCGCCCGUCCUCCCCCGGCACCUCGUCCCCGUCCUCUUCCCUCUGUCCCAUUUAGCACCGCACCAUUUUUUGUGUUGUUUUGUUCUUGCUCUCCAUCGUGAUCGCUCAAGUCAAUUGUCUUCCUCCUGUGGUAGGAGUGCAUCUAUUCAGCCAUUCAUCAAUCACAUUAUGUGGGAUGUGACAUGGUGAUUUGUUCUGAUCAAACAACAGCUCUGGAAGGUUGUGCUAAUGGCGCUCAGAAGAAAAGAAAGUGGAAGCGUGCUAAUGCUUGCAAAGACAAUGCUACCUUACUGACAUUUAACUGCUAUAAUGUUUUCCAACUGUACCUUCAAGUUACUGUUACUAAACUUGAUUUGAGGUAUUGUUGUAUAUUUAGAACUGUAUGAAUGCACAUUUUCCUCUCCAUUACGGUAGCUUUGCGGCGCCUAAUGCAAGCUAUUCUGAAAUAAGUACUCAGAACUUCUGACCCUCACUCGACCGUAGUCCCAAAAGAACAAAUGCACAGGUGUUUCCCGUACCUUCUUUGUGAGGAUGUAAAGACACUUGUUUUCCAAUGUGAGUAUUUGGGCCCAAAGUCAUCAGGUGAAGGAACUGGAAGAUGUACUUCAAAGCCAUGUUAUGCUGUUGCUGUGGUUUGGCGCACCCCCGUGUGGUUGUUCUUUUCAUGCCUAAACCCAACAAAUAAAACCAGAGAAGAGGUAAAA
ensembl:lncRNA